rnacentral:rRNA from 1 species
UUACGAAAGGAGUACCCGUACUCUUCAACCCUUUGUGAACAUACCCCUAGUCAGUUGCUUCGGCGGGAGGCCCCUGGGAGGGGCCCCGGGGCCCGGCCCGAGCCGGGCUCCCGCCGGAGGAGCGCAAACCAAACUCUUGCUGUACCCAGUGGCACGUCCGAGUAAACAAACAAAAACAAGUUAAAACUUUCAACAACGGAUCUCUUGGUUCUGGCAUCGAUGAAGAACGCAGCGAAAUGCGAUAAGUAAUGUGAAUUGCAGAAUUCAGUGAAUCAUCGAAUCUUUGAACGCACAUUGCGCCCGCCAGUAUUCUGGCGGGCAUGCCUGUUCGAGCGUCAUUUCAACCCCUCGGGCCCCCGUGCCCGGCGUCGGGGCUCUCCCUCGCGGGAGGCCCCUAGAGAAAGUGGCGGACCCGCCGCGGCUCCGAGCGCAGUAGUAAAAUUCUCGCUCUGGUACCGCGGAGGGACCCCGGCCGUUAAACACCCCCAAUUUACAAGGUUGACCUCGGAUCAGGUAGGAAUACCCGCUGAACUUAAGCAUAUCAAUAAGCGGAGGAAAAGAAACCAACAGGGAUUGCCCCAGUAACGGCGAGUGAAGCGGCAACAGCUCAGAUUUGAAAUCUGGCCCCCAGGGCCCGAGUUGUAAUCUGUAGAGGAUGCUUCUGGCAAGGCGCCGUCCGAGUUCCCUGGAACGGGACGCCGGAGAGGGUGAGAGCCCCGUACAGGCGGACGCCGAGCCUAUGUGAGCUCC